rnacentral:snRNA from 1 species
GCAGUGAUGGUGAUCUGGCUCCGAUGUCAGUUACCCCAUUGAUCCCCAGGGUUGAUUUGGCUGAUCUGGCUGGCUAGGCAGCUGUUCCCUUCCUCUCACCCCUCCAUGUGCAUCCCUCCUAAAGUUGCAUGCUCUGUUGAAGAGGAUGACCUUCCUCUAUAGAGGAGGACCAUUCUUUGGUCAAGGGUAUAUGACUG